GUUGCAGAUCGAGUUUUGUAGAAAUAUACAGCCACAGUCACACCUCGUUAAACCCUCGCAAAAGCCCUCGGCCAAAGCCUCCCCUUACCCCUUCCUCUCUCGCAACUGCAACAGCCAUCAACCAUCUCCCAAAAUGGCUUGGCGCUCUGCUGGAUCGCUCUCUCGUUCCCUCAUCUCUAGCGCUAGGGUUUCGGCUCAACGCUCUGCUCCCUCGCUCCCUCGAUUGCGUCCUCCCAACGUCGCUGCCCCUCCUCGUCGUCUCUCCUUCUCCUCUCCCAGGCACUUGGGAGAAUUGGGAUGCAUACAGUCUCUCCUGCCGAUAGGUGCGGCUGCAACCUGUUUAACUUCUCAUUUGGCUGUCAACGUGCGGGCUUUUUGCGAGCUGUCUCAUGGUACCUUCCGUCGUUCUUGUCAAGAUCGCUAAUAGUCUCUUUGGAGGAGUGGAAAAGACGGGUGAUGCACUUCAACAUUCAAUGAUCCAAAGGAAGGCAAUGAGGCUGCAUUGUACUUGAGAGACCUUGGGAUCAGCAUUAUCAAGGGAGACUACAUAUUUUGGGGAAGUUAUGGAGAUCAGAUUAUCCUUUUAGGAUAUUCAGUUUUUGGAUUAAAAUUGUAAUGCGAGUACGCCAUUUUUUUAUACUUUUCCGAAUAAGAAAAACUAUGGAGUUAGAGUUUCUAGAAGACCUUUAGAACCUAAGCCUUUUGCAGGUCAUUUAAUGUGAUAGUUGUUUUGUUUUGGUCUACUAAUUUGGUUUUAACUCUUUCGUUAAACGUUUUGUCGUUGAUUAUCAACCUAUUUCACCACAUGUUUUUCAUAUUAAUGCAAAAUUAUAUACCGUUGCUUC